CCUACGGGUGGCAGCAGUGGGGGAUAUUGCACAAUGGGGGAAACCCUGAUGCAGCGACGCCGCGUGGGUGAAGAAGCGCCUCGGCGCGUAAAGCCCUGUCAGCAGGGAAGAAAAUGACGGUACCUGAAGAAGAAGCCCCGGCUAACUACGUGCCAGCAGCCGCGGUAAUACGUAGGGGGCAAGCGUUAUCCGGAUUUACUGGGUGUAAAGGGGGCGCAGACGGCGGAGCAAGCCAUGAGGGAAAGCCCGGGGCCCAACCCCGGGACUGCUCUUGGAACUGCGUGGCUAGAGUGCAGGAGGGGCAGGCGGAAUUCCUGGUGUAGCGGUGAAAUGCGUAGAUAUCAGGAGGAACACCGGUGGCGAAGGCGGCCUGCUGGACUGCAACUGACGUUGAGGCCCGAAAGCGUGGGGAGCAAACAGGAUUAGAUACCCCAGUAGUC
rnacentral:rRNA from 1 species